AACUGUGCAAAUCUGCCCCGGCCUUGGGGAGGGGUCACUAGAUGUCAACAAAACUUACCAGUUAAUAACCCCCCCAACCCACCCCAGCCUCCAGAGCAGUGCCAUAGUCAGCAGGAUAUUGCUGAAAUGGAAAAAGAAAAACAGAAAAUCACACCUAUAAUACCAACACUCAAGAGGCUGACGCAGGAGAACCACCAUGAGUUUAAGGGCCAGCCUGGGAUACACAGUGAGUUCCAUACCAACCUGGGCUAAAGUGAGACUAAAUUUAAAAAACAAAACAAAACAAACAAA